rnacentral:lncRNA from 1 species
UCCUUCAUGUACCCAUGGGUUUAUUGGCUUACAUGUUACCAAUUUUUCUGCAAUCAAGCUAAUCUUUGCUGCCACAAAACAUUUCUCUAAGUCACUAACUCAUUUUCAAAGACUACUCAAGCAAAAAUAAGAAUUCUUACUAUUCCUUGCUUGAAUCACCAAAACCAAGCUUUUUUCUUCCUUUCUCUCUUUCUCUUUCUUCUCCUCCUAGGGUGUAGAUGUGCUAGAAAUUGGGGUUAAAGGCUACAAAUUUAGUGCUCAAGAAGUUUGGAGAAGAAAGGAAAAGAAAACAUGGAAAGGAAAGUGAAGAAAACUUGAUUUCAUGGUGGAUAAAGAGAAAAUGGCAUGGAAGCUUCAAGAAUGGCAUGGAGCAUGGAGGAGAAGAGGAAAAAAUCUUGUUGGAGGAGAUAAGAACGGUUUUG